rnacentral:rRNA from 1 species
AACGAACGCUGGCGGCAGGCCUAACACAUGCAAGUCGAGCGAGGACUUCGGUACUAGCGGCGGACGGGGGAGUAACGUGUGGGAACGUGCCCUUUGCCUCGGAAUAGUCCUGGGAAACUGGGAGUAAUACCGGAAGAGCUCUUCGGGGGCAAGAUUCAACGGCGAAGGAACGGCCCGCGUUGGUUUAGGUAGUGGGUGGGGUAAUGGCCUACCAAGCGGAGGAUACUUAGCUGGUUAGAGAGAAAGAUCAGCCACACUGGGGCUGGGACACGGCCCAGACUCCUACGGGAGGGAGGAGAGGGGAAUCUAAGAAAAUGGGGGAAGCCCUGAUCUAGCCAGGGCGCGUGAGCGAUGAAGGCCUUAGGGUUGUAAAGCUCUUUCAGCUGGGAAGAUAAUGACGGUACCAGCAGAAGAAGCCCCGGCUAACUCCGUG